rnacentral:lncRNA from 1 species
GGGACAUUGUGAAGGGAGGCCAAACAUGGGGUUCCUUUGCUCAGAAGCCUUGACUGGGCCCCCUUGUGUCCAGGUGUGCGGGCACUUAGGUGACAUUCCCAUGACACUCCUGGUUCCCCGUCCUCUAGCAUCAGCUUCGUCUUUGGACCGGUCUCCAGUGGUUCUGGUUUGAUGUCGGCACACUUCCUUCCCAGAAGCCCCCAGUAAAUCUUGUGUCAUUGGCCUGAUCUGUGUCAGGUCCCCAGUCCUGAACCAAUGGCGGUGGCUGGAUAUGGGACCUGUGGACAGGCCCAAGACAAAUAGGGCCUGAAGCUGCAAGUGGGCAGGUUAGCUGAGGCAAGGAGAAGGGGCAGUGGAUUCUAGGAGCUCAGACCCUGCAUGUCCACUCCACAGUGGUCUCCAGAAAGGGCAUGAAACCAGGAAACUUAAGUGGACAUAAACUAUGAAUAGGUGUGUAUGUGUGUGUGUGUGUGCAGUGUGACAUGCUCUUGGACUUCCCAGCCUCCAGAGUCAAAGCCAAAAUAAACCUCUUUAUAAACCACCCAGUUCCACAUAUUUGACUGAGACACAGGAUUUCCAGGGGCCUGGGACAUUGGGGCCAGUCUCAGGCAGGGAGCAGCAAGUGUCACAGGCAAGUUGGGGACACGGGGUUGGCUGAGUUGGAGAAACCUGUGGAGUCCAAGCUCUUCCUGAGGAGCCUGAAUCUCAGGAGAGAAAGAGGCCAGGGAAGAGAUGAGUGGACCCAGCCUAACGGGGAGUAGGAAGGAGGCUCAGGGAAGAGCCAUUAAGAGACGGAAGAUGUGUUGAGGGCAUCUUUGAGGAAGAUGAUAAGGGACUGCUGAAUUCCUUCCCUUAGGAAGACCUUUGGCCAAGGGGACAGGGAUACAGUCAAGAUGGCGGCAUUGCCAGCCUGCUCUUGGGCCUUUGGGGCUCCGUGGGCAGGGACUGCUAUGGGCAGAGACAGGCAGGCUGCCGCUAUGAGAUUGCAGGCCCUGACUCUGACAAUGCAGGAGAGCAGACCACUGAGGGAAGGCCCUUCUCAGAGUAAUUAAAAAGGAUAAUUAAUGAGGCCAAAGGAAGGUGCCUUCCCGACAGCCCCUGAUUACAGAUGAAGAUCCAGGCUGGUGGAGGGAGAAGGGGAGACGGGACAUUUUUCCUUCUCCCAAACAGCCAAGGUCAAGGAUGGCUGUGGAGUCUUGAUAAAGGCCAGGCUUUGACCCCUAGGGUGGGUGGAGACUAAAAGGCCCUGCUGUCCUCCCUGCCAGUCAACCCUAGGCAUUUAUUUCAUGUCCCCAUUGUGCCCUUCCCAUGUGACCUGCCAGGGGGUGGGUGGGCAGGAGCCUCAGCUUUGCCUUGAAGGUGAUAAGCUUAUGGUGGACCAAGGUUCACCGAGAGAGACCAUCUCAGCGUUCUUCCUUCUGGGAGCUUGAUAACAUCACCACGUUCUUAUUUUGGUAGAUCAAGAGGACACACAGUUUCCAUAGAGCAGUCUUGUAAUGGGCUGAGAACUUUCUGGAAGGUCAUCUUCCAUUAUGAGCUGAUGACCCACAUCUGUACCUUCGGGGCAAUUUUUCUACCCGUCUUCAGCGAUGGGCAUCUUCCCUUAUGCCACGGGCACCUCAAACUUUAGGUCUGUUAAACCUGUAUCAUUCCCUGGACUCUUUCUCUGCUCUUGGGGCAGAUGCUGCUCAGUGCUCAGCCAGUACUCAUUCCCUCCACCUUCCUAACUGAACUAUGAUGUUGUCUAAGGAACCAAUAUACUUCCCUAAAACCUCAUUAUUCUAGAUUUCCUUGCAGCUAUCAGUAGCUUUGUAAUCGGGCCAAUGAGAUGAUUGACAUCCCUUCCCUAGUAAGAAGUCAAAACUUUGCUAAGAGAAUGGCUUUCACCUCCUUUUCCUGCCUGGAGAAAGGGCUGGAGGUGCAGCAUCCAUUUUGUGGUGCAAGCACAUACCUCUGCAGAUGGCCAUAAAAACAACUCACAGAGGAUGGCAGAGGGCAAAGGUGGAGGCAUUCAGAAUGUCUAGUCCAACCUGGUCGUCUGUCCUUCUGACAUAUUUGUGUGAAACAAACAAGCUGUUACUUGAGGCCUUCCUGAAUACUCCCUUGUCCUUUCCUCAUGUCCUCUGAUUUGACUUCCUAGAGAAUUCUGCAUCUGCCUCACCACCCUGACCCAGGCUUGCCAUCCAUUUCCUGUGCACCCACUGGGGUCCCGCUGCCAGGGUGAUUCCUCUGAAACUUAUUUCUGACCUUAGCAUGCCUGGGUUUGAACCCUCCAAUAGUCCCCAUUUCCCACACAAGUCCAGACCCCUUAAUGAAUCCUUCCUGUUCUGGCCCCUAGGCACACAUUUUCUGCCCCCCUCUGCCUGGCAUGGCCUGUCCCAAUAACACUGCUGAGCCUCAUGCCUCUUCUCACUGUAACUUUUCUCUCCUAUGCUGUGGCUGAGCAGGCCUCAGGGAUGUUCCCUCUUUCUCUCCCAGGUGACUCCUACUUCCUUGUAGGACACAGGGCCCCGUGGGGAAUGGCUUCCUCUUUAGCGCUCACCUGUCCAGGAGACAUUUACGCACUGCAUGCACCAUGUUUGAGCCUCCUGCCCCUCUUGCCUGGAUGCUGACUCCCUGUGCAGCCCCAGCCCUGGCCAGAGUCUCAGUGAGCAAAUAAAUGCUGGGCUUUGCUCGGAUGGGUCCCUGCCAUAGGCUCACCCUCCACUUUCUGCAGAAGCCACAGGGCACUGUACACUAAAACCUGGAAAAACGACUCAUAAUCCUCUCGCCCCACCCUAAAACCAUUUUUCACUUUUGGCAGUAGAUUUAUAAAAACUCAAGGCCAGGCUCUGGCAUCUCCCUUGGUCAUGACUUACCUGGUUAGAUUUGAUAUCGACAUCUCAGUCUCAACCUGUGUCCUACCAGGGGCUGAACCUGCCAUCCAGACUGGGCCAAGGGCAGGGAACGAGUCCUUGCAGUUCUCAGAACCCACCAUGUGACCCCAGAAACCUAUUAAAGCCCUCAAACCCAGUUUCCACAUCUUUAAGUAGGGAGUUUGGAUGACAAGAUGUGUUAUAAUAAAAUUGCUCAAUGCUGCCUGCAGAGCCCUGGGGCCCAUCAUCAUAGGCUCAGGUAUUUAUUUGCAAUGCUAGUUUUCCUCAAGUUUGUUCCCUCCAACCCCCACUAUUUUCCUACAUGCUAUAAUCUUUCUCUAUUUUGUUUACAAAAGUUAUUUUAAAAUCUUAUUUAUGUAUAUAUUUUUAUCAGUGCAUUACAAUUGUACGUAACAGUAGAAUUCGUUGUUACAUUCUCAUAGAAACACACAAUAUAACCAUAUAAUUUGGUCAAUUUCAUUUCCCAAGCUAACAAGUAUUUUGAGAGACCAUGAGAUCUGGCAGCACAGAUUAACAUUCUAAGAUGUGUAGCCAUAAUUUUUUAAGCCCAUGAUAAACAUCCAUCCUAGUGAACGUUGGUCUUUCAAAAUAAGGGUGUGUGUGUGUGUGUGUGUGUGUGUAUCCUUAUUCUAACAAAAGGCUGCAAUUGUUCAGCACAUUCUAGAAUUUCUUGUCUAGGACACAUCUCCAGGCGUGUGUGUGGCGGCAGUGCUGUUGGAUGCCAUCCAUGCUGAGAAAUUGUUAUCUUCUGUCAGGAAAUUCAAUUUUGGGGUCAUAGAAGGAAAAUAAUUUUUAGUUGAAAGUUGUUUAGCAUUUGAAGUUGGGAUGGAUUGGAUUAGGAGGAAGCCAAAAAAAAAUUCCUUUAAUGGAAAUGAAAUGUUAUCUGCUGGGGAAAAAAAAAAAAAGAAACCUACCCUUAAAGAGCAUGUUUGGUGCCCCUGGCCCUGCAACCCUGGCCUGGGUGGGGAAGUCAAAGGACCAGUCAGUCUGUAUGAAAAAGAAAUGGUAAUUGUGUUUCUGUCUGUG